rnacentral:rRNA from 1 species
UACGUAGGGGGCUAGCGUUGUCCGGAUUCAUUGGGCGUAAAGCGCGUGUAGGCGGCCAGGUAGGUCCGUUGUGAAAACCCGAGGCUUAACCUUGGGACGCCGACGGAAACCGUCUGGCUAGAGUCCGGAAGAGGAGAGUAGAAUUCCUGGUGUAGCGGUGAAAUGCGCAGAUAUCAGGAAGAACACCCGUGGCUAAGGCGGCUCUCUAGUACGGUACUGACGCUGAGACGCGAAAGCGUGGGGGAGCGAACAGG